CNCGNNAAACCUUACCUACCCUUGACAUGUACGGAACUNGCCAGAGAUGGCUUGGUGCUCGAAAGAGAGCCGUAACACAGGUGCUGCAUGGCUGUCGUCAGCUCGUGUCGUGAGAUGUUGGGUUNAGUCCCGCAACGAGCGCAACCCUUGUCAUUAGUUGNUACAUUUAGUUGGGCACUCUAAUGAGACUGCCGGUGACAAACCGGAGGAAGGUGGGGAUGACGUCAAGUCCUCAUGGCCCUUAUGGGUAGGGCUACACACGUCAUACAAUGGCUGGUACAAAGGGUUGCCAACCCGCGAGGGGGAGCUAAUCCCAUAAAGCCAGUCGUAGUCCGGAUCGUAGUCUGCAACUCGACUGCGUGAAGUCGGAAUCGCUAGUAAUCGUGGAUCAGAAUGUCACGGUGAAUACGUUCCCGGGUCUUGUACACACCGCCCGUCACACCAUGGGAGCGGGUCUCGCCAGAAGUAGUUAGCCUAACCGCAAGGGG
rnacentral:rRNA from 1 species